rnacentral:rRNA from 1 species
CGGUAAACAGAGGGAAGCGAGCCUGCGAGGGGGAGCGAAUCCCAAAAAUAACGUCCCAGUUCGGAUUGUAGUCUGCAACCCGACUACAUGAAGCUGGAAUCGCUAGUAAUCGCGGAUCAGAAUGCCGCGGUGAAUACGUUCCCGGGUCUUGUACACACCGCCCGUCACACCAUGGGAGUCGGAAAUGCCCGAAGUCUGUGACCCAACCUUAGGGAGGGAGCAGCCGAAGGCAGGUCGGAUGACUGGGGUGAAGUCGUAACAAGGUAGC